AAGUGGUUCCGCGCCGACAAUGUAGCGGGGCUCAAGUACACCGCCGAAGCUGUGGCAUUCACAUAAUAACCCCGCCUAAACUUUCGGGUUUGGGUGCAGGUGUGUGGAUGGGUAGGGGAGCGUCGUGCCGCGGGUGAAGCAGCCGAGUGAUCGAGUUGUGGACGCGGUGCGAGUGAGAAUGCAGGCAUGAGUAGCGCAAGAAGGGUGAGAAACCCUUCCGCCGGAUGACCAAGGGUUCCAGGGCCAGGUUAAUCCGCCCUGGGUGAGUCGGGACCUAAGGCGAGGCCGAGAGGCGUAGUCGAUGGACAACGGGUUGAUAUUCCCGUACCCGCGAAAGAGCGUCCCUGAUGAACCUCGCUGUGCUAACCACCCGAGCUCUGGAAGGUCUUCGGACUGACUGGGGGGAGCGUGGGAACCUGGUGGGUAGUAGUCAAGCGAUGGGGUGACGCAGGAAGGUAGCUGAUCCCGGCCGGUGGUUGUGCCGGGGUAAGCGUGUAGGCCGGUGUGUAGGCAAAUCCGCACACAAUGAAGGCUGAGACGUGAUGCCGAGCCGAUUCAGGUGAAGUCAGUGAUCCUAUGCUGCCGAGAAAAGCCUCUAGCGAGUUCUUAGCGGCCCGUACCCCAAACCGACACAGGUGGUCAGGUAGAGAAUACCAAGGCGACGGGCGAACUGUGGUUAAGGAACUCGGCAAAUUACCCCCGUAACUUCGGGAGAAGGGGGGCCGGACACGUGAAGCAACACGCUUGUGGAGCGUGGUAUGGCCGCAGAGACCAGGGGGAAGCGACUGUUUACUAAAAACACAGGUCCAUGCGAAGAAGUAAUUCGAUGUAUAUGGACUGACGCCUGCCCGGUGCUGGAACGUUAAGGGGACCUGUUAGCUCUUCGGGGCGAAGCGGAGAACUUAAGCGCCAGUAAACGGCGGUGGUAACUAUAACCAUCCUAAGGUAGCGAAAUUCCUUGUCGGGUAAGUUCCGACCUGCACGAAUGGCGUAACGACUUCCCUACUGUCUCAACCACAGGCCCGGCGAAAUUGCAGUACGAGUAAAGAUGCUCGUUACGCGCGGCAGGACGGAAAGACCCCGGGACCUUUACUAUAGCUUGACAUUGGUAUCUGAGUUAAUUUGUGUAGGAUAGGUGGGAGCCUGUGAAGCUCGUACGCCAGUACGGGUGGAGGCAAUCUUGAAAUACCACUCUGGUUGAUUCGGGUAUCUAACUUCGGACCGUGAUCCGGUUCAGGGACAGUGUCUGGUGGGUAGUUUAACUGGGGCGGUUGCCUCCUAAAGAGUAACGGAGGCGCCCAAAGGUUCCCUCAGCCUGGUUGGCAAUCAGGUGUUGAGUGUAAGUGCACAAGGGAGCUUGACUGUGAGACUGACAGGUCGAGCAGGGACGAAAGUCGGGACUAGUGAUCCGGCACCGGCAUGUGGAAGCGGUGUCGCUCAACGGAUAAAAGGUACCCCGGGGAUAACAGGCUGAUCUUCCCCAAGAGUCCAUAUCGACGGG
rnacentral:rRNA from 1 species